GCAUAUCAAUAAGCGGAGGAAAAGAAACCAACAGGGAUUGCCCUAGUAACGGCGAGUGAAGCGGCAACAGCUCAAAUUUGAAAUCUGGCUCUUUCAGAGUCCGAGUUGUAAUUUGCAGAGGGCGCUUUGGCUUUGGCAGCGGUCCAAGUUCCUUGGAACAGGACGUCACAGAGGGUGAGAAUCCCGUACGUGGUCGCUAGCUAUUGCCGUGUAAAGCCCCUUCGACGAGUCGAGUUGUUUGGGAAUGCAGCUCUAAAUGGGAGGUAAAUUUCUUCUAAAGCUAAAUAUUGGCCAGAGACCGAUAGCGCACAAGUAGAGUGAUCGAAAGAUGAAAAGCACUUUGGAAAGAGAGUCAAACAGCACGUGAAAUUGUUGAAAGGGAAGCGCUUGCAGCCAGACUUGCUUGCAGUUGCUCAUCCGGGCUUUUGCCCGGUGCACUCUUCUGCAGGCAGGCCAGCAUCAGUUUGGGCGGUGGGAUAAAGGUCUCUGUCACGUACCUUCCUUCGGGUUGGCCUUAUAGGGGAGACGCCAUACCACCAGCCUGGACUGAGGUCCGCGCAUCUGCUAGGAUGCUGGCGUAAUGGCUGUAAGCGGCCCGUCUUGAAACACGGACCAAGGAGUCUAACAUCUAUGCGAGUGUUUGGGUGUCAAGCCCGAGCGCGUAAUGAAAGUGAACGGAGGUGGGAACCCGCAAGGGUGCACCAUCGACCGAUCCUGAAGUUUACGGAAGGAUUUGAGUAAGAGCAUGGCUGUUGGGACCCGAAAGAUGGUGAACUAUGCUUGAAUAGGGUGAAGCCAGAGGAAACUCUGGUGGAGGCUCGCAGCGGUUCUGACGUGCAAAUCGAUCGUCAAAUUUGGGCAUAGGGGCGAAAGACUAAUCGAACUAUCUAGUAGCUGGUUCCUGCCGAAGUU
rnacentral:rRNA from 1 species